rnacentral:rRNA from 1 species
UACAGAGGUCUCAAGCGUUGUUCGGAUUCAUUGGGCGUAAAGGGUGCGUAGGUGGCGAGGUAAGUCAGGUGUGAAAUUUCGGAGCUUAACUCCGAAACUGCAUUUGAUACUGCCUUGCUUGAGGACUGGAGAGGAGACUGGAAUUCACGGUGUAGCAGUGAAAUGCGUAGAUAUCGUGAGGAAGACCAGUGGCGAAGGCGGGUCUCUGGACAGUUCCUGACACUGAGGCACGAAGGCCAGGGGAGGCAAACGGG